ACGAAGGGGGCUAGCGUUGUUCGGAAUUACUGGGCGUAAAGCGCGUGUAGGCGGGUCGUUAAGUCGGGGGUGAAAUCCCAGAGCUCAACUCUGGAACUGCCUUCGAUACUGGCGACCUGGACCCAAGUAGAGGCGAGUGGAAUUGCGAGUGUAGAGGUGAAAUUCGUAGAUAUUCGCAGGAACACCAGUGGCGAAGGCGACUCGCUGGACUUGUGGUGACGCUGAGACGCGAAAGCGUGGGUAGCAAACAGGAUUAGAUACCCUGGUAGUCCACGCCGUAAACGAUGAGAGCUAGUUGUCAGUAAGCAUGCUUAUUGGUGACGCAGCUAACGCAUUAAGCUCUCCGCCUGGGGAGUACGGCCGCAAGGUUA
rnacentral:rRNA from 1 species